rnacentral:rRNA from 1 species
GAUGAACGCUAGCGAUAGGCUUAACACAUGCAAGUCGAGGGGCAGCAUGGUCUUAGCUUGCUAAGACUGAUGGCGACUGGCGCACGGGUGCGUAAUGCGUAUGCAUCUUGUCUCACAGAGGGGGAUAACUCGUCGAAAUUAGGACUAAUACCGCGUAGACUUGGGAUAGAGCAUACUGACCCAAGGAAAUGAACUUCGCUGUGUGAUAGGCAUGCGUCUCAUGAGCUAGUUGGUGAGGUAACGGCUCACCAAGGCGACGAUGCGGAGGUGAACGGAGAAGUAGAACCCCCGCACUGGUACUAAGGCACAGACCAGAAUCCGACGGGAGGCAGCAGUGAGUAGGAUUAUGCAAGGAGCGAUAGCCUGAACCAGCCAAGUCGCGUGAAGGAGGACUGUCUUAUGAAUUGUAAUCUUCUUGGAAACGAAAAUAGCAAGAGCCACGUGUGGCUCCCUGCAUGUACCGUAUGAAUAAGCAUCGGCUAACUCCGUG